rnacentral:rRNA from 1 species
CAAUAGCGUAUAUUAAAGUUGUUGCAGUUAAAAAGCUCGUAGUUGGAUUUCUGGUGGGAGCGAUCGGUCUGGCGCUUAGCGCGAGUACUUGCAUCGUCUCCGGCCAUCCUUGGGGAAAGUCUGUCUGGCAUUAAGUUGUCGGGCAGAGGAUCCUCAUCGUUUACUGUGAAAAAAUUAGAGUGUUCAAAGCAGGCUUAUGCCGUUGAAUAUAUUAGCAUGGAAUAAUAAGAUAGGACUUUGGUACUAUUUUGUUGGUUUGCGUACCAAAGUAAUGAUUAAUAGGGACAGUUGGGGGUAUUCGUAUUCCGUUGUCAGAGGUGAAAUUCUUGGAUUUACGGAAGACGAACUACUGCGAAAGCAUUUACCAAGGAUGUUUUCAUUAA